rnacentral:rRNA from 1 species
GUUCUCUGCAUCGGGACCUCAAUCUCAAUUGGCUCCGGUGUUGCGACUUUGUUGUGGUUUGACCGAUGGGCCGGGGACAUCCCCUUCGCUGCCCGCUUCCCCAACCUCUUCUCCAUCGCGGUUGACCCCAGGAUUUCCGUCGAGAGUGCCCUUAUUGACUUAUGGCACCUCGCUUUCUAGCGGCCAUUUGGGCCUCCGGAUCUUGCGGCUUGGCAUGAGUUGCUUGAUUGCAUUGCCCUCCACGAGCCUGAUGUGGACUCCGUGUCUGAUCGUAUAGCUUUGCGCUUGGAGCCAUCGGACAUCUUCUCCACCAAGUCCCUCUACCAGGCCAUUGCCCCCUCCACCGCACCUCUUCCUCUUACGGCGGUGUGGGCCAUCCGCCUACCUCUAAAGAUUAGGAUCUUCAUGUGGCAAUGGAUUCGUGGCAGGAUCCUGUCCGACGUGGAGGUCCAUAAGCGAAAUGUUCUAGGUAACAGACUUUGCCCACUUUGCGGCGUUGUUGAAGACUCAAACCACAUUUUCUUCUCCUACGUGUCCGCCCCAUUCCUUUGA